UACGUAGGGUGCGAGCGUUAAUCGGAAUUACUGGGCGUAAAGCGUGCGCAGGCGGUUUUGUAAGCCAGAUGUGAAAUCCCCGGGCUUAACCUGGGAAUGGCAUUUGGGACUGCAAGGCUUGAGUGCGGCAGAGGAGACUGGAAUUCCUGGUGUAGCAGUGAAAUGCGUAGAUAUCAGGAGGAACACCGAUGGCGAAGGCAGGUCUAUGGGCUGACACUGACGCUCAUGCACGAAAGCGUGGGGAGCAAACAGG
rnacentral:rRNA from 1 species